CAGCAGCCGCGGUAAUACGUAGGGUGCAAGCGUUGUCCGGAAUUAUUGGGCGUAAAGAGCUCGUAGGCGGUUCUUUAAGUCGGGUGUGAAAUCUCAGGGCUCAACUCUGAAACUGCACCCGAUACUGGAGAACUUGAGGCAGGUAGGGGAGAUCGGAAUUCCUGGUGUAGCGGUGAAAUGCGCAGAUAUCAGGAGGAACACCGGUGGCGAAGGCGGAUCUCUGGGCCUGUUCUGACGCUGAGGAGCGAAAGCGUGGGGAGCAAACAGGAUUACAUACCCUGGUAGUCCACGCCGUAAACCAUGGGUGCUAGGUGGGGAGAUAAUCCACUUCUUCCGGUGCGGCAGUUAACGCAUUAAGCACCCGGCCUGGGGAGUACGGCCGCAAGGCUAAAACUCAAAGGAAUUGACGGGGGCCCGCACAAGCGGCGGAGCAUGUGGCUUAAUUCGAAGCAACGCGAAGAACCUUACCAGGGCUUUGAAAUAUAGGAAAAACCCAUGAAACAUGGUGUGCUUCGGCGUCCUAUACAGGUGGUGCAUGGUUGUCGUCAGCUCGUGCCGUGAGGUGUUGGGUUAAGUCCCGCAACGAGCGCAACCCUUAUCAUAUGUUGCCAGCGAGUAAUGUCGGGGACUCAUGGGAGACUGCCGGUGUCAAACCGGAGGAAGGUGGGGACGACGUCAAAUCAUCAUGCCCCUUAUGUCCUGGGCUGCACACAUGCCACAAUGGCCGGUACAGAGGGCUGCGAUCCCGCGAGGGUGAGCGAAUCUCACAAAGCCGGUCUCAGUUCGGAUUGGAGUCUGCAACUCGACUCCAUGAAGGCGGAGUCGCUAGUAAUCGCGAAUCAGCAACGUCGCGGUGAAUACGUUCCCGGGCCUUGUACACACCGCCCGUCACGUCAUGAAAGUCGGUAACACCCGAAGUCAGUGGCCCAACUCUUUGAGAGGGAGCUGCGAAGGUUACGUA
rnacentral:rRNA from 1 species